rnacentral:rRNA from 1 species
UACGAAGGGGGCUAGCGUUGUUCGGAAUCACUGGGCGUAAAGGGCGCGUAGGCGGCUUUAUAAGUCGGGGGUGAAAGCCUGUGGCUCAACCACAGAAUUGCCUUCGAUACUGUAGAGCUUGAGACCGGAAGAGGUAAGUGGAACUGCGAGUGUAGAGGUGAAAUUCGUAGAUAGUUGGGGAAAGCAACGACCAGUGGCGGAAGGCGGCUCC